UGCAAAUUGAGGAGUCGGUUUGUGCAAGUUAAGGAGUCGAUUAAGCGUGCCCGGGAAGGCGUUUUGUUUGUUUGCGUGGCCAAUAUCGGGGUAUGGAGUGGCGUUUAAAUUCAUAAGUGAAGACAAUCAAACUGUUUUCAACCUGCAUGUGUGGAAUCACAUACACAAUUGCACCAUGCUUUUAUCUCCUCUUUCUUAUUGGCUGCCCAGCAGCUAUAAGGGGAGGGGAUAAGGGAGCAAGGUGACUCUUUAUUCCGCAGUGCCGUUCAUAUGGCUCUUUUUCGAAAUGUAC
rnacentral:sRNA from 1 species